UGCUCAUCAAAAAUACUAGGAGAUUGCUACAUUGAGAACACAGGUUUUGCUUCCAUCCCUGUAGUUUUAUUGCAGUGAUGACAAUGAGACCUGUAACAUUU